GGCUUGUACUGUCCUGACUGGGUCUUACCUUCUGGUGAGCUGUCGUGUUGUUUACUCAGUGCGGCAGGGAACCAGGACUUUUACUUUGAAAAAAUUAGAGUGUUUAAAGCAGGCAUUCGCUUGAAUACAUUAGCAUGGAAUAAUAAAAUAGGACUUUGGUUCUAUUUUGUUGGUUUCUAGGACCGAAGUAAUGAUUAAUAGGGAUAGUUGGGGGCAUUAGUAUUUAAUUGUCAGAGGUGAAAUUCUUGGAUUUAUGAAAGACUAACUUCUGCGAAAGCAUUUGCCAAGGAUGUUUUCAUUAAUCAAGAACGAAAGUUAGGGGAUCGAAGACGAUCAGAUACCGUCGUAGUCUUAACCAUAAACUAUGCCGACUAGGGAUCAGACAAGGAUUUUUUGACUUGUUUGGCACCUUAUGAGAAAUCAAAGUUUUUGGGUUCCGGGGGGAGUAUGGUCGCAAGGCUGAAACUUAAAGGAAUUGACGGAAGGGCACCACCAGGAGUGGAGCCUGCGGCUUAAUUUGACUCAACACGGGAAAACUCACCCGGUCCGGACACCGUAAGGAUUGACAGACUGAUAGCUCUUUCUUGAUUCGGUGGUUGGUGGUGCAUGGCCGUUCUUAGUUGGUGGAGUAAUUUGUCUGGUUUAUUCCGAUAACGAGCGAGACUCUAGCCUGCUAAAUAGAACGAGGAUAAACCUUUUCAUAGGUCCUCGAUGCUUCUUAGAGGAAUUAGCGG
rnacentral:rRNA from 1 species